rnacentral:rRNA from 1 species
AGUGAAUAGAUACCCAGGUAGUCCACGCUGUAAACGUUGUGUACUAGGUGUUAGUGACUUGUUCACUAGUGCCGACGCUAAACGCAUUAAGUACGCCGCCUGGGGAGUACGGCCGCAAGGCUUAAAACUCAAAGAAAAUUGACGGGGGCCCGGGCCACAAAGACGGUGGGAGGCAUGUGGGUUUUAAAAGUUUUACGUAUGAUAACGCGAAGAAACCUUAACCCUUGGGCGUUGUAACUAGUACCUCGACAGGUGUAGAGAUACACCCUUCCUUCGGUACGAGGUAUAGAGGGUGGCUGCAUGGCGUGUCGUCAGCUCGUGUCGUGAGAUGUUGGGUUUAA